rnacentral:rRNA from 1 species
GACGAACGCUGGCGGCGUGCUUAACACAUGCAAGUCGAACGGAAAGGCCCUGCUUUUGUGGGGUGCUCGAGUGGCGAACGGGUGAGUAAAACGAGAGUAACCUGACCUUGACCUUGGGAUAACUUAAGGAAACUGGGGCUAAUACCGGAUAGGAGCUCCUGCUGCAUGGUGGUGGUUGGACAGUUUCUGCGGUUGGGGAUGGACUCGCGGGUUAUCAGCCUGUUGGUGGGGUUGUGGCUUACCAAGGCUUUGACGGGUAGCCGGCCUGAGAGGGUGACCGGCCACAUUGGGACUGAGAUACGGCCCAGACGCCUACGGGAGGGAGCAGUGGGGAAUAUUGCACAAUAGGGGGAAGCCUGAUGCAGCAACGCCGCGUGCGGGAUGAAGGCCUUCGGGUUGUGAACCGCUUUCGCCUGUGACGUAGCUGGAUUGACGGUAAUGGGUAAAGAAGCACCGGCUAACUACGUG